GCACUAGUAGCUCAGUCUCAGAGCGCCGGUCUUGUAAACCGGACGCCGGAGGUUAAAGUCCUCCCUUUUGCU
rnacentral:tRNA from 1 species